UUCUUUCGUGCGAUGGAAGUUAUGCUACAAUUUCUUGCAUUGUACGAGUGAACUGCAAAUCGAUUGAGCAACAAAAGAACAGAUCGUCUCCGAGUUAGAUAUCUUUAGUGAUCGGUUGACCGAAAAUAUAGACUCCGCAUAAGUAAUCAAGAACAGAUCACCACUUCACGUUUAAUCUUCUAUAGAAAUGAAAAUGAGUAGCCGAAAUGUACGAACGCGGGUAACUUCCAAACGACUGCACCUAAUUGGUUAUCUGAUUCAGACGAUUGUUAUUUGAACAGAAAAAUCUCGAAGUCAAUCGAAGUCUCUCGAAGUAUUUAUAUUUAAAUAGAAUGAU
rnacentral:misc_RNA from 1 species